rnacentral:lncRNA from 1 species
UGGAUGAAGCCACAAGUGCUUUAGAUUCAGAAUCUGAGAGGCUGGUUCAAGACGCUCUUGAAAAGGCUAUAGUUGGGAGGACAGUCAUCCUAAUUGCCCACAGAAUGUCAACUAUUAUUGGUGCAGAUGUGAUUGCCAUAAUAGAAAAUGGAAGAGUUUUAGAAACAGGAACACACCAAAGCUUGCUAGAAAAAAGUAUAUUCUACGGCAACUUAUUCAGCAUGCAUAAUAUCAGACCAAUUAAAGAUUCAAGGUUUGUUCUUCAUACUAAAUAAACUGCAUUUUUUUCAAAAGAAAACAUGACUAACUGGUUUGAAUUGUUUGUUGAUGGACAGCAAUUCAAACUCAUUGUCAGAACAAGGAAGUGCCCAUCAACAAUCUUCAUCUUGCGACCUUGAUAAGGACGAGAAACUUGAACCCAAAAAUUCUAAAAUAGAUUCUUUGAGAGCAGAAGAGAAAGAGGGAUCAAAAGAAAUAUUCUUCAGAAUUUGGUUUGGCUUGAGUAAUAUAGAGAUAAUGAAGACUAUCUUUGGAUCUUUUGCAGCAGCUGUGUCUGGCAUCUCUAAACCCAUCUUUGGAUUUUUUAUCAUAACAAUAGGGGUAGCCUACUAUCACACAAAUGCAAAGCACAGAGUUGGAUUAUACUCCCUCAUCUUCUCUAUGGUGGGAUUACUAUCAUUUUUCAUGCACACCAUACAACAUUAUUUCUUCGGAAUAGUGGGAGAAAAAUCAAUGAAAAACCUCAGAGAAGCUCUCUAUUCAGGUAUAAUUUAAGAACACUUUUCUGUGUUUAUAUAAAAAUUUUAAGAGCAUGCUAUGGAGUCAAAAGUAGCUUCUAACGUUAACUAGACUAAUUCAGUUCUUCCAAUGGAUUAUUUCAGCUGUACUACGCAAUGAAGUAGCAUGGUUUGACAGAUCUGAAAACAAUGUUGGUUCACUUACAUCACAAAUAAUGAACACCACCUCCAUGAUAAAAACCAUAAUAGCUGAUCGGAUGUCUGUCAUUGUACAGUGCAUCUCCUCCAUUCUAAUUGCCACCACCGUCAGCUUGAUUGUGAAUUGGAGAAUGGCUCUCGUUGCUUGGG